GCCUCGUUGGCGCAGUAGGCAGCGCGUCAGUCUCAUAAUCUGAAGGUCGUGAGUUUGAGCCUCUCACACGAGGCA